rnacentral:rRNA from 1 species
UGGGGAAUUUUGGACAAUGGGCGAAAGCCUGAUCCAGCAAUGCCGCGUGUGUGAAGAAGGCCUUCGGGUUGUAAAGCACUUUUGUCCGGAAAGAAAUCCUUGGCUCUAAUACAGUCGGGGGAUGACGGUACCGGAAGAAUAAGCACCGGCUAACUACGUGCCAGCAGCCGCGGUAAUACGUAGGGUGCAAGCGUUAAUCGGAAUUACUGGGCGUAAAGCGUGCGCAGGCGGUUUGCUAAGACCGAUGUGAAAUCCCCGGGCUCAACCUGGGAACUGCAUUGGUGACUGGCAGGCUAGAGUAUGGCAGGAGGGGGGUAGAAUUCCACGUGUAGCAGUGAAAUGCGUAGAGAUGUGGAGGAAUACCGAUGGGCGAAGGCAGCCCCCUGGGCCAAUACUGACGCUCAUGCACGAAAGCCGUGGGGGAGCAAACAGGAUUAGAUACCCUGGUAGUCCACGCCCCUAAACGAUGUCAACUAGUUGUUGGGGAUUCAUUUCCUUAGUAACGUAGCUAACGCGUGAAGUUGACCGCCUGGGGAGUACGGUCG